UUGCUUCAGCAGCACAUAGACUAAAAUUGGAAUGAUACAGAGAAAAUUAGUGCUGCCCUUGCGCAAGGAUGACACACAAAUUUGUGAGGCGCUCCAUAUUUUA